UGUCAGGUCUCCCUUUGCACGUGACGUCACGCUCUCCAGAACUCCGCCCACUUCGCCAUAACGGUCGGCCAUGUUUGGUCAAAACGACAAAUGCGCUCCAGACAUCUGUAACAUAAAACUGCUUCUAUUUCGUUGAUUUCCUUUUAAAAUAGUCAUAGGAUGCUGCGCUGCCGGCUGCACAAACAGACAAGGAUGCAAACCAAACCUGUCAUUUUAUUGUAACUUUUAAUGAGAAAAAAUAUGGCGGCGACGGAUAGCAGCCGUUAAUAGUAAUGCCUGUGUGCCGUCGGUGUAAUCGUAGAUUUGCAGUAAACACUUUUUAUAAGGUAAGAAGAUUACCUUGUAAAACGUAAGAGUGAUUAGAAAGAUGUGAAACAUCGCAUUAUGGAGAAGACGCUGGGCGACCGCUGCCACGAGGGCAGCGCCUUUGCUGCUGCCGCACUCCGAGAGGACGAACCUGACGUGGCAAUCAGGAAGCAACCGCCGCACCACCUUAUGGAGCCGCUUAGGAUACCUGAAGAAGUGUGAAAGUGUUGCCAUCAACGCCGACUGUGAUUCUCAGUCCUCUCAGGUUCCGGUUCUGUCUGAUCCGGGUUAGAAUGGCCACCAGCCCCGCCGCC